rnacentral:rRNA from 1 species
GACGAACGCUGGCGGCGUGCCUAAUACAUGCAAGUAGGACGCAGUUGCGAACGGGUGAGUAACGCGUAGGUAACUGCCUAUUAGAGGGGGAUAACUAUUGGAAACGAUAGCUAAUACCGCAUACUAGUAGAUGGACCUGCGUUGUAUUAGCUAGUAGGUAGGGUAAUGGCCUACCUAGGCGACGAUACAUAGCCGACCUGAGAGGGUGAUAGGCCACACGGGGACUGGGACACGGCCCAGACUCCUACGGGAGGAAGCAGGAGGGAAGCGGCGGCAAUGGGGGGAACCCUGACCGAGCAACGCCGCGUGGGUGAAGAAGGUGUUCGGAUCGUAAAACUCUGUUGUUAGAGAAGCGGUAGCUAACCAGAAAGCCACGGCUAACUACGUGCCAGCAGCCGCGGUAAUUC